CUUACCAUGAGAGCCUCCCUCUCCUUCUUCUCCCCAACCCUAGCUGGUUUUCUCUCCUCUUCCUCUUCUUCCAUUGCUAAGAUUGGAUCUUGAUGCAGGUGUAUGUUGGUCCAAGCAUGGAGAAGCUUGAGCUAUCCUCAGAUCUGAAGUUCUUGAGCAAAAUCCAAAUCGAGUGAUUCAAAGUUCCGCAGAUAGAUACGGAAAAGAUCUACAACUUGGCGUUGGCCUCAUCCUCAAAUUCGUUACGGAUUGUCCGUGGUGAAAGCCCUCUUCAAUACCUUCAUUUUGGCGGUGGUUUCACUUCGAUUGACCUCCUGAAACUGAAAUGGUUCACAGGUCAAGAUCUGGUCAGAUCUGACUUUGUCGAAUUAAACCAGGAGCUUGGGAAUGAAUUUUUGAAUGAAACCAAUUGGGGGUACUUAGCUUGUGCCAUGGUGAUACCGAGAGAGGCAAUUGCUAAUUUGUGAUACUCUCAUACCUUUACUAGAUGCGAACGAUUCCGGAGAAGAUGAAGAAGUGGAUCGGACAAGGAUUUUAUUUAUGUUGUUGGGAUUCUUAUAUUGAUGGAGUUGAAGAAGUACAGGGACAAAUAAGCCAAGGCAAGCCAUCUUUUGAUCUCUGAUCCGGUGUCUAGUUGGAUGUCAUUUGUUGAUGUUCAAAGCACCUUCAUUCUAUGUGUG